GAUGAACGCUAGCGGCAGGCCUAAUACAUGCAAGUCGAACGGUGUCUUCGGACAUAGUGGCGCACGGGUGCGUAACACGUAUGCAACCUACCUUACAUUGGGGGAUAGCCUUUCGAAAGGGAGAUUAAUACCGCAUAAGACAGUAGCUGGGCAUCCAGCGGCUGUUAAAGAUUUAUCGAUGUAAGAUGGGCAUGCGUCCAAUUAGUUAGUUGGCGAGGUAAUGGCUCACCAAGACUUUGAUUGGUAGGGGAACUGAGAGGUCAAUCCCCCACACUGGCACUGAGAUACGGGCCAGACUCCUACGGGAGGCAGCAGUAGGGAAUAUUGGGCAAUGGACGCAAGUCUGACCCAGCCAUGCCGCGUGCAGGAUGAAGGCGUUAUGCGUUGUAAACUGCUUUUAUACAGGAAGAAACGACUCUUGCGAGAGGCAUUGACGGUACUGUAUGAAUAAGCACCGGCUAACUACGUGCCAGCCGCCGCUGUAA
rnacentral:rRNA from 1 species